rnacentral:rRNA from 1 species
UAGUCCACGCCGUAAACGAUGUCAACUAGCCGUUGGGGGGCUUGACCCUUUAGUGGCGCAGCUAACGCAAUAAGUUGACCGCCUGGGGAGUACGGCCGCAAGGUUAAAACUCAAAUGAAUUGACGGGGGCCCGCACAAGCGGUGGAGCACGUGGUUUAAUUCGAUGCAACGCGAAGAACCUUACCAGGUCUUGACAUCCUGAAAACUUUCUAGAGAUAGAUUGGUGCCUUCGGGAAUUCAGUGACAGGUGCUGCAUGGCUGUCGUCAGCUCGUGUCGUGAGAUGUUGGGUUAAGUCCCGUAACGAGCGCAACCCCUAUUCUUAGUUGCCAUCAGGUCAAGCUGGGGACUCUAGGAAAACUGCCUACGCAAGUAGAGAGGAAGGUGGGGAUGACGUCAAACUCAGCACGGCCCUUACGCCGUUGGGCUACACACGUGCUACAAUGGCCUGUACAGGAGGGCAGCUACCGUGGUGACGAGGAUGACAAAUCUACGAAAACGAGGUCUCUAGUUCGGAUUGG